UUAGACCUGAUAUCAG
rnacentral:rRNA from 1 species